rnacentral:rRNA from 1 species
UAAAUCGUUUAACGAGUAUCAAUUGGAGGGCAAGUCUGGUGCCAGCAGCCGCGGUAAUUCCAGCUCCAAUAGCGUAUAUUAAAGUUGCUGCAGUUAAAAAGCUCGUAGUUGGAUCUGGGGCUUGAGGUCGCUGUCUAUCGUUUCGGCGAUGACGGUGAUGCUCAGCUCUGCUUGCCGGUGACUGUUGCGGUGUUCUUAAUUGAGCGCUGUAGCAGCACGGCACGUUUACUUUGAAAAAAUUAGAGUGCUCAAAGCGUGCUUGUCGCUUGAAUAAUGUUGCAUGGAAUAAUGGAAUAGGACCUCGGUUCUAUUUUGUUGGUUUUCGGAGCUUGAGGUAAUGAUUAAGAGGGACGAACGGGGGCAUUCGUAUUGCGGUGUUAGAGGUGAAAUUCUUGGAUCGCCGCAAGACGGACUACUGCGAAAGCAUUUGCCAAGAACGCUUUCAUUAAUUGAGGACGAAAGUCAGAGGUUCGAAGACGAUCAGACACCGUCCUAGUUCUGACCAUAAACGAUGCCGACCAGCGAUCCGUAGUGGUUGCUUUAUGGACCCUACGGGCAGCCUCCGGGAAACCAAAGUAUUUGGGUUCCGGGGGAAGUAUGGUUGCAAAGCUGAAACUUAAAGGAAUUGACGGAAGGGCACACCAGGAGUGGAGCCUGCGGCUUAAUUUGACCCAACACGGGAAAACUCACCCGGUCCGGACACCGUAAGGAUUGACAGACUGAUAGCUCUUUCUUGAUUCGGUGGAUGGUGGUGCAUGGCCGUUCUUAGUUGGUGGAGUGAUUUGUCUGGUUUAUUCCGAUAACGAACGAGACUCUAGCCUGCUAAGUAGUGUGUCUAUUGUGAUAUGGUAUACACUUCUUAGAGGGACAAGUGGCAUUUAGCCACGCGAAAUUGAGCAAUAACAGGUCUGUGAUGCCCUUAGAUGUCCGGGGCCGCACGCGCGCUACACUGGAGAAGUCAGCGUGUGUUAUCCAAGUCCGAAAGGAUUGGGUAAUCCGUUGAACCUUCUUCGUGCUUGGGACUGUGGCUUGGAACUAUUCCGCAUGAACGAGGAAUUCCUAGUAAGUGCAAGUCAUUAGCUUGCGUUGAUUACGUCCCUGCCCUUUGUACACACCGCCCGUCGCUACUACCGAUUGAAUGGUUUAGCAAGGUCCUCGGAUCGUGGACGUAGGGGCACGCAAGUGUUUCUGCGUUUUGCGAGAAGACGACCAAACUUGAUCAUUUAGA